ACGGGAGGCAGCAGUGGGGAAUAUUGCGCAAUGGGGGAAACCCUGACGCAGCAACGCCGCGUGAGGGAAGAAGGUCUUCGGAUCGUAAACUUUUGUCUUGAGGGACGAACAAGGACGGUACCUCAGGAGGAAGCCACGGCUAACUACGUGCCAGCAGCCGCGGUAAUACGUAGGUGGCAAGCGUUGUCCGGAUUUACUGGGUGUAAAGGGCGUGUAGGCGGGCUGAUAAGUCAGAUGUGAAAUACCGGGGCUUAACCCCGGGGCUGCAUUUGAAACUGUCAGUCUUGAGUGUCGGAGAGGUAAGCGGAAUUCCUAGUGUAGCGGUGAAAUGCGUAGAUAUUAGGAGGAACACCAGUGGCGAAGGCGGCCUGCUGGGCUUUAACUGACGCUGAGGCACGAAAGUAUGGGGAGCAAACAGGAUUAGAUACCCUGGUA
rnacentral:rRNA from 1 species